rnacentral:rRNA from 1 species
CGCCUUUAGAAUUUAUAUAAGGUAUAACCUGCCCACUGAUGAAUUGAAGGGCCGCGGUAUUUUGACCGUGCAAAGGUAGCAUAAUCAUUAGUCUUCUAAUUAAAGGCUGGCAUGAAUGGUUGGAUGAGGUACUGACUGUCUCAGUAAUAAAAAAUUAGAAUUUAACUUUUUAGUCAAAAGGCUAAAAUAUAAUUAAAGGACGAGAAGACCCUAUAGAGCUUUAUAAAUUUAUACAAGUAAAAUUAGAUGUUGAUUGUUAUUGGUAGUAAUUUAUUUUGUUGGGGUGACAAAGAAAUAAAAAAACUUUCUUUUUUAAAAACAAUAAUGAUUGAUUAAAGGAUCCGUUUUUAGCGAUUAAAAGAUUAAGUUACCUUAGGGAUAACAGCAUAAUCUUCUUUGAGAGUUCUAAUCGACAAGAAGGGUUGUGACCUCGAUGUUGGAUUAAGAUUAAUUUAAAAUGCAGACGUUUUAAAGUUGGGUCUGUUCGACCUUUAAAUUCUUACAU